GACGAACGCUGGCGGCGUGCCUAAUACAUGCAAGUUGAGCGCUGAAGGUUGGUACUUGUCCCAACUGAUGAGCAGCGAACGGGUGAGUAACGCGUGGGGAAUCUGCCUUUGAGCGGGGGACAACAUUUGGAAACGAAUGCUAAUACCGCAUAAAAACUUUAAACACAAGUUUUAAGUUUGAAAGAUGCAAUUGCAUCACUCAAAGAUGAUCCCGCGUUGUAUUAGCUAGUUGGUGAGGUAAAGGCUCACCAAGGCGAUGAUACAUAGCCGACCUGAGAGGGUGAUCGGCCACAUUGGGACUGAGACACGGCCCAAACUCCUACGGGAGGCAGCAGUAGGGAAUCUUCGGCAAUGGACGAAAGUCUGACCGAGCAACGCCGCGUGAGUGAAGAAGGGUUUCGGAUCGUAAAACUCUGUUGGUAGAGAAGAACGUUGGUGAGAGUGGAAAGCUCAUCAAGUGACGGUAACUACCCAGAAAGGGACGGCUAACUACGUG
rnacentral:rRNA from 1 species